CAAUGCGCUUGCGCAUUUCUGAACACCGCUGUCAGCGCUGUAGGCGUUUCAUACUAGAUCUGUUUCUGUAAACCAUCUUGUAGAUUGGGCAGUGCCACUCUUUAGGUCCCGAAUCUCAGCAAUCUCUUCAGAUUCUGUACCUUCUCUAGUCCCCCCUCUUCCCAGUGGCUACAGUACAGGGAGUUGGAGGCGCUCCUUCAGUGAUGUGCUUUACGGACCUCUGCUCUCGUCACUUUUUCUCCUAGUAAGCAAAGCCUCAAAACCAAUUACUGCCAUGACACACACGCUGAUAGACACAGAUAAGGAACACUGUGAACGUCAUCUUCAAUCCAGAGCUUUGUCGAGACCUAGAACUUUGGCAGCAUGGCGUAUCUAAAUGGGGAAGAAUAGCAGAAGCUGUGCUGGCUAGAAGACAUAUUGAUAACACUUUUCAUACCUCCAUUCCUGGCAUGUAUGGAAGUUACCAGAUCGCUGUAAAGACAAUUUGGAGAAAAAGGUAGAAGAGCUGGUCGGUAUUUGGUUUCAGAAAAUGGGAUCUUCUAAGCCGCUGAGGGAGAGCAACUGGGGGUGAGUGGAUGUCCAAGGUUGAGUGAAUCUCCAUCAAAGACUACGGUGCUUACGUGGCUUCUUCAGAGCCAAGCUGGAUGUGUGGCAACUCCUUCACUUCCAAAG
ensembl:lncRNA